rnacentral:rRNA from 1 species
UGGGGAAUAUUGCACAAUGGGCGAAAGCCUGAUGCAGCAACGCCGCGUGAGUGAUGAAGGCCUUCGGGUUGUAAAGCUCUGUCUUUUGGGACGAUAAUGACGGUACCAAAGGAGGAAGCCACGGCUAACUACGUGCCAGCAGCCGCGGUAAUACGUAGGUGGCAAGCGUUGUCCGGAUUUACUGGGCGUAAAGGAUGCGUAGGCGGAUUUUUAAGUGAGAUGUGAAAACCCUAAGCUUAACUUGGGGACUGCAUUUCAUACUGGAAAUCUAGAGUGCGGGAGAGGAGAAUGGAAUUCCUAGUGUAGCGGUGAAAUGCGUAGAGAUUAGGAAGAACACCAGUGGCGAAGGCGAUUCUCUGGACCGUAACUGACGCUGAGGCAUGAAAGCGUGGGUAGCAAACAGGAUUAGAUACCCUGGUAGUCCACGCCGUAAACGAUGAGUACUAGGUGUAGGAGGUAUCGACCCCUUCUGUGCCGCAGUUAACACAAUAAGUACUCCGCCUGGGAAGUACGAUCGCAAGAUUAAAAACUCAAAGGAAUUGACGGGGGUCAUAGCUGUUUUUCCU